UCCAUUGGAACAGGACGUCAUAGAUGGGUGAGAAUCCACGUAUGUGACGUGGAAUAUGUUAUACCUUAUCUGUAUAAGCUCCUUCGAGCAGAGUCGAGUUGUUUGGGAAUGCAGCUCUAUAAUGGGUAGGUAAAUUUCUUUCUAAAGCUANAUAUUGGCGUAGAGUAUCCGAUAGCGCUACAUAGUAGUAGUGAUCGAAAAGAUGAAAAGCAUCUUUGUAAAGAGAGUUAAAAAGCACGUGAAAUGUGUUGAAAGGGAAGCGCUUGCAAUCAGACUUGUUUAAACUGUUCGGCCGGUCUUCUGACCGGUUUACUCAGUUUGGACAGGCCAGCAUCAGUUUCGAAANUCCGGAUAAGGGCUCUGGGAAUGUGGCCUUCACUUCGGUGAAGGUGUUAUAGCUUACGGCUAAUGCGGCCAGCCGGGACUGAGUUCACGCUUCGGUAGAUGCUG
rnacentral:rRNA from 1 species